GAUCCGGUGCGAGAGUGGCUUAUCGGGCGGUCUGCAAAACCGCUUACAUGGGUUCGAUUCCCAUCCGGAUCU
rnacentral:tRNA from 1 species